GAUGAACGCUAGCGGCAGGCCUAAUACAUGCAAGUCGAACGGGAUCCAGAUCAAAGCUUGCUUUGGUUUGGUGAGAGUGGCGCACGGGUGCGUAACGCGUGAGCAACCUACCCUUGUCAGGGGGAUAGCCCGGCGAAAGUCGGAUUAAUACCGCAUGACAUCAUUGAGAGGCAUCUUUCGAUGAUCAAAGAUUUAUCGGACAAGGAUGGGCUCGCGUGACAUUAGCUAGUUGGUAAGGUAACGGCUUACCAAGGCUACGAUGUCUAGGGGCUCUGAGAGGAGAAUCCCCCACACUGGUACUGCGACACGGACCAGACUCCUACGGGAGGCAGCAGUAAGGAAUAUUGGUCAAUGGACGGAAGUCUGACCCAGCCAUGCCGCGUGCAGAAAGACGGCCCUAGGGGUUGUAAGCUGCUUUUAUACGGGAACAAACGUCGGUACGUGUACCGGUCUGAGUGUACCGUAAGAAUAAGGAUCGGCUAACUCCGUG
rnacentral:rRNA from 1 species